rnacentral:rRNA from 1 species
GUGGGGAAUCUUGCGCAAUGGGCGAAAGCCUGACGCAGCCAUGCCGCGUGAAUGAUGAAGGUCUUAGGAUUGUAAAAUUCUUUCACCGGGGACGAUAAUGACGGUACCCGGAGAAGAAGCCCCGGCUAACUUCGUGCCAGCAGCCGCGGUAAUACGAAGGGGGCUAGCGUUGCUCGGAAUUACUGGGCGUAAAGGGCGCGUAGGCGGACAGUUUAGUCAGAGGUGAAAGCCCAGGGCUCAACCUUGGAAUUGCCUUUGAUACUGGCUGUCUUGAGUACGGGAGCGGGGAGUGGAACUCCGAGUGUAGAGGUGAAAUUCGUAGAUAUUCGGAAGAACACCAGUGGCGAAGGCGACUCACUGGCCCGUUACUGACGCUGAGGCGCGAAAGCGUGGGGAGCAAACAGGAUUAGAAACCCUGGUAGUCC